rnacentral:lncRNA from 1 species
UAAUCUAAUAAAAUAAUCUAUAAAUCCUAUCCUAACCUAUCCAGGUGCGACGAUAAAACUCUCGAACAUGCGUCCAUAGAACUAACAUAUCGAUAAUCUUCGAAAGCGCUUAUUUCGUUCCAAUUUAGAAAAGUUAGAUUAUCAUGUAUUAUAGAAGCAAGCGAUCCCACACCUUCAAAACUGAUGUGACAUCGAUAUUUUAGAGCGGCACACGGAUUAUAGGGAACAACAUUCCAAUAUGUGUAAGAAACGCCAGUUACUGUAAUUUGGCAUCCAUCAUAAGGUCGUCGAUAGUCCAACCUGCCCUCUUUUGUGCUGGUUAAAUGAUAAUGUAAAAUGGUAUUGUGACGGUACAAUUUAGAAAAACCUUUCGAGCAACGACCAUUUUUAAUGCAUUGCAUGGAUUGAAUUUUCACGUAUGCAUCUACAGAUAUUGUUAGAAAAGCCUUGCCUUGCCGGAAUUAUGUAAUAUGCAAAAUCUAUGAGGCACCAAAUCGCUGUAUGUGCUACGAUUGGGGUUGACCGGUUGAUUGCGCAUCUGAAGACGAAAUCAAUAAAAUUCGCGAAGGUAACUUCUUGGAAGGAAGAAAAUGAUGAGAAGCACCGAAAUCAUGGCCAGCUUCGCCAUAAAGAAACAAUAACGGAUAGACGAUUGGAUCGGACAUUUUAUUCAAAUUUUUGAUGCGAUAAUGGCCGGUGGAGUCACGAGGGAAUAUUUUAUGAUCGACGGAAAACGGAAGUUCACCAACAAAAGCAGCAGCAAUUUCUGAACGACUGAGGUAAAUUGAAAUUACGAAGAUCAGUAUUGAUGUGUUUCUUGAAUCCGGCAAUCACAUUGGGCAAAUCAUUGUGAGUGAUUUGUGAAUUAUUAUCGCCAGACGCAUCCACAAUUUCAUCCCAAAGCGAAUGAUAGGCUAUUAUCCAGACAUUUGUUGAACGUAACUUGGUUUCAAUCUGAGGAGUUGCGCGAUGAUCAACGCGAUCAUCCAAAAAAUAAUUGCGUCGACGUCGAAGAAAUAAUACUGCGCUCUAUACGCGAAUAAACUGGAUCACUGACAUUCAUUGAAGCGGAAUCGGAAUUUUGCCUGUUCGCAUCAGGUAUCGGAGUAUUAUUAGGUCCUGCAUCCGCUGCAAAAGGAACAGUGGUAAUUAAACCAUGUUGCUGUAACGGAAGUUGACAAUGAUGAUAGAUUUAACCACAAAUUGUAAAAUACCAAUUACCACUAACAUCGACCGCAUUAAUUUCCUGUGGAAUCUUUGCUUUGAAUGUAGCCAUUGCAAAAAGAAUUGGAAGUGGAAUAGAGGAAAUUGACGAAACUUCUAAUUGUUCAUUUAAUUUGCGAAUUGGAAUUAAAACUGGAGAAUGGAUUUGAACUGAAGAGGAAUGAACUGCAAAUAUUGCUGCAGCAACGCUUGCCCGGGUAAUGCGACGACCGAUAUAAGUUUUUUGAAAAGAGUUUUAGCAGUUUUCCGUAUUUUCGGAUCUUUGUUGACUUUCGAUUUUUUUCGAGUUAUAUAGUUAUAAAGUUCUAUUUUUUGUAUGGUUAAGAGCUAAACAGGGAAGCUUUUUAUCAAUUAGUGAUAGAUUUGAGUUUUCAAAAGGAACGGGCCAUUAUAUUUUUUUACAGAAUCUCAAUGCCAUCAAGCAAUUAAAAGAUUAUUAUAUUCAAUGGCCAAAUGCACAUGAAUGUACUGAAAUUGCGUUAGGAAAUGAAAACCGGUAUUGCAACCGUAUGCACUUAUGCAAUUAUAUGAUAUGACAGUUUGAUAUAACAUCAUUUUUUACACUUUAGGUUUUCCUGAAAUCGUAGGGAGCAUCGAUGGAUUUCAUAUAGAUUUUUUAAGCAACCCUUGAAUAAUUCUGUAGACUUUUUUAAUCGGAAUCAAAAGCAAAGUGUUAUCCUACAAAGAUUACCGUAAAUCAAUAUUUUUAUUUUAGGGAAAUGGAGAUAAGAAAACUGAAAUCUGUCAAUGAUUAUUUGCAGUUUGUAAGCGCUUGAUCAAAUAUGAUGUCCCCGUGGCUGUUCAUCCACACCCAUAGAAAUUCGACUUAAUACGCUCCAUUAGUCUGACGUCAGACCAUGUGCUUGUCGAAGGACUGUAUCUAAACAAACGAAUUGUCGUAUCUUAUUAGCAUUGGGCAAAAUUUCGUUGUUUGUUUCUCAAGAACUCUGCUGGAUCUAAGCAUUAAUAUUAGCAAAAAAUGUCUGCAGCUCACGUGAUACGAUUUUCUGCUAUAGCUGAUUUCUUUAAAGAAGACUGUGCUCAGUUAAAGAGAGGUAAAAACUCCUACGAGAGCGGCAAUUUCACUGAGAUGGUGUUCGAUUCCGAAGUCUCACCUGCUUUACUUAAAGGUGAAGUAAAAGCCAGUAUGAAAAAGAAAUCUUACUGCGUAGAUAGGUAACUAAAGGUAAAAUUCGGAAUGGUUAGAGCUGCUUGCAAUAGAAAUUCAUUUCCGAAAUCGC